GGAGAGGUGGCUGAGCGGUUGAAGGCACCGGUUUCGAAAACCGGCAUUGGGGAAACUCAAUCGGGGGUUCGAAUCCCCCCCUCUCCGCCA
rnacentral:tRNA from 1 species